rnacentral:rRNA from 1 species
UACGAGAGGCCCAAACGUUAUUCGGAAUUACUGGGCUUAAAGAGUUCGUAGGCGGCAUUGCAAGUAGGGUGUGAAAGCCCUCGGCUCAACCGAGGAAUUGCGCUCUAAACUGCAGUGCUUGAGGAACCUAGAGGUGAGCAGAACAGAUGGUGGAGCGGUGAAAUGCGUUGAUAUCAUCUGGAACACCGGUGGCGAAAGCGCUCUGCUGGGCCUGCACUGACACUGAGGGACGAAAGCUAGGGGAGCGAAAGGG